GUCAAUAUAAGAUUGGGUUAACAAGAUGAGUCAUUACAAGUGUCAAAACCAUAACAACCACAGUACAAGUAAUUCAUAAAUCAGUUAAUGUGUAAAAAAAAAUUUCCCGUUCUUCGUCUUACAUGUGCGUUGUGAUGAUGACCCGUAAGUGUGAAAAACUAUACCAUCACAAGCAUGGCAAUUGAAAACUAGCAGUUUGAUUGAGCAAUUUUCUGUUGCAAGUAUGGAUAUUUCCUUAAUUGUACACAUGAUUAAAGAGUGUUUAAGAUCGUACUAAGUAUGGGAAAAUGGAGGAUAAAGGUACACUUCAUUUAUUCAACCAUCACAUCAAUUGCUUUUCAAAUUUACAAAGAGAUUGGACUUGGUGGUUGGGUAGAUGAAAACCAUAAUUGCUUCUCCUUCAAGUAGCUUAUAAAUACUGUGGGAGUUCAUUCUCACUUACAAACAAGCUACUUGAAAAGCAUUGUGAGACAUUCAACUUUUCACAGACACUUAUCGUUCCAUCAAUACUAAAAUACGUUCACGUAAUGAGUUCUUCCACAUGAAGCACCGAACCGUUGAACAUCAAUGAGCCACUGCCAGUUCUCGGUUCAUCUCCGUUAUUUCCAAUCUACAUUUCGUUAGAUGAUGAGGAAGUUAACCCUCGUAUUAGUAGGAGAGUCAUUUCCCCUGGUCCUUUUCCCAACUUAGAAGAUGUUUCCAACGACGGUGCGCAAUCACCGAACGGUGUGCUCGAUAAGGUGUUCGAGCUCGACGUCGGAUACGAGGAGGAUUUGUACGACGACGACUGGAUGGCGUACGAGGCAUCAAACAAGGUAAUUAUCAUCUCGUCGGACGAGUCAGGUGAGGAAGCGGGGAAGAUGGUUCAGUUGUUGUCGACGACGACUGAAGUGACACCCAUGAAAUGUAGUGAAUAAGUAUUGUAUAGUUAGGUAUUUUGUAGGGAUGACUUUGGUUAAGACAAAACCAAAAAGUCUACGUAAACAUGUCCCUAAGACGUAAUUCGAGUAGUGAAUUUUGCGUGUUCCGAUCCAACUAUCGAGAAUUAUGAGACUAUCUGUCGGAAACAAUAUAUUAACUGUCGGGCAUUAAGGAUCAUAUGUUUGUAAAUUGAUCUGUAUUUUGCAGUAUGUUGAACGGGUGUUAUGAAAUGGUGUUUAUCAUACACUAACUUUAGUCCACGAUUUACGAUGAUGCAAAUGAUAGUAAAUAUCUUGGGGAUUGAAGAUUGCGUUUUUAGAUGGAAAAUAAAAAAACAUGUACAGUGUCCAACCGGUUCCGUUAUGUUGUUUUGUGUUCCCAACAUGUACAGAUUACAAGAUCUGUGAAGCAGACCGUGAGUGCAGUGCAAGGUUUCAUCAAUUGUCGAGAAUAAGUAACACAUCUGUCGGGACCAACAUUUUAACAGGGCGGGAUGUUCAGUAGGUGCUGAACAGAGUCUGAAAUUUGCAUGUGCACAAAAGGCUGUGCAACAUGCAAGAACAAUAAUUAUCAUAAACUUUAAAACAUAACUUCAAAAUGUUUGAUGUAGUACGGAAUAAUGAACAUACAACGUCUAUUACACCACAAAUCUCUAAGGAACAUGUGAUACAUGGGGGUUUGAACACAUGGUCCGGUUAUGACCAACUCCACCACAGCGAGUACAUUUUCUGUUAGACCAUGCAUACUUCUACCUAGAACGCUUACGUCGGGUUGGUGGUCUACCUGGAAGACGACGUACGAGUGGUGACAAAAUAGGAGUACAUGUAAUUAAGUUCGGAACAACCCAAUUCACUUCCCUAGGAACAGGAUAUAUAGCUUCGUUGUAAACACCCCUCCAGUAUUCCGAUGUGUAAUAAGGGGAGCAAAGCUCGUACAUAGACUUUCCUCUAAAGCAAGCGGCACGACUUGCAUGAACACAUGGCAUAUGAUUUAGUUGGAAGUCACGACAUGUGCAGGUAUCUUCGGACAAGUCAACUAUGUCCGUGUCGUUGGAUAUUCCAACCUGCGUUAAGUUGUUUGUUAGGACAUGGGCUCAAAGCCUAGUUCCAUUUUCGAACGUCGUCCGUAACUCGUUCUCCAUCCUCGGCGUCAAUAAGGUACUGCAUUCUUCUGCAUUUGUUCAACGUUCGUAAAACCACUUCUGCAUAGUACUCCAAAUGUGUUCAACCAAGCAGGUUAUCGACAACGAUCGGGCUUCUCUCAACAUCGAGUUCAAGGACUCUUUGUUGUUGUUUGUCAUGAUGUUGUAACGGUGUCCAAUAAAUAGUGCUUUGGACCAAAAUGAAUAACCUGCUCGCUCUAAGUACCCGUGCGCUCUUUCGCUCACUCUACGAAUCUGUCCCAUGAGUCGUUCGAAGUCCUCGACCCGAAAAGUUGUAACAACUCGUUUGAAUAGAAAUAUUAGGCUUGCAUUGUUGUACCGCUCGUAUUAGGUUCUUUUCCAUAUGUCAUAUACAACAACUAUGGUGAGACAAUGGAAACAACUGAGUAAUAGCUUUCUUAAUAAUCUUUUUCCUGUCCGAAACUAACACGAGUUCUUCGGCGUCCCCUAUAAGGUCUUUCAAGUUUGACAUAAACCACUUUCAGGAUUUAUUGGUUUCAGCAUCCACGAUCCCCCAUGCCAAUGGAUAAAUCUGUUUGUUACCAUCUUAGGCAGUUGCCAAUAGGAGUGUACCUUUGUAUGGACCCUUCAAGUGACUGCUAUCAACACAAAUAACGGGUCUCAAGUACUGUAUGUAACCACGAAUGCUUGCACUAAAAGCUACGAAGAAGUAAUGAAACCUAUGAAGAGAAUCAACUUCAAUGUGGGUUACGGUCCCCAGGUUACUCUCUCCUACGACGUGACAGUACGAAGAUAAUUUCUGAGAAUUCUCCCCUGGUGUACCAUGUAGCAUAUUUAAGGCAUGGAGCUUCCCCCUACGUGCUUUGCUAUAACUGGUUUUCACACCAAACUCACGUUCCAUAUCACAUGCAAUAUCAGUAGGAUGAUACGAUCGGUAUGGAGUAUCCAAUUUUCCCAAAAUGUGCUCCAUAAUUACAGAACUAGUGGCAUGCCGACGUGCGUUACGACGAAAAUCAAGGGAACAUGUGUGAAUUGUAAUGAAUUUACGGAUCAUGAAGAUUGCAGAUUGCUUGACAGUAGAAGCACGUAGCAUCCACUUGCAAUUAUCGUCCACACAGACAAUUGUUGACAUUUUCAAGCUUGACCUACUUACCCAAAAUUGGAAAUUCUCUUGCAAAGCAAGUACACGAGGCUUCGAGUACAACUGUUUCUUGCUAAAUAAUAUUUGCUUCUCGACGAGAACGGAUGUAUUUGCAGCUGUAAUCCACCCAUCUAUGCACGAAGUUCUAGAAUUUGAUGACAUUGUCUCGUCAAUUUCAG
rnacentral:lncRNA from 1 species